rnacentral:rRNA from 1 species
GAUUAACGCUAGCGGCAGGCCUAAUACAUGCAAGUCGAGGGGCAGCAGGGUGUAGCAAUACAUCGCUGGCGACCGGCGCACGGGUGCGUAACACGUAUGCAACCUACCUUUAACUGGGGAAUAGCCCUCCGAAAGGAGGAUUAACACCGCAUAACAUCACGAGACGGCAUCGCCUUGUGAUCAAACCUCCGGGGGUUAAAGAUGGGCAUGCGUCCGAUUAGCUAGUUGGCGGGGUAACGGCCCACCAAGGCGACGAUCGGUAGGGGGUCUGAGAGGAUGAUCCCCCANACUGGUACUGAGACACGGACCAGACUCCUACGGGAGGCAGCAGUAAGGAAUAUUGGACAAUGGUCGCAAGACUGAUCCAGCCAUGCCGCGUGCAGGAUGAACGAUCUAUGAUCUGUAAACUGCUUUUGUUCGGGAAUAAACCCCUUNACGUGUGGAGGGCUGAAUGUACCGAAAGAAUAAGGGUCGGCUAACUUCGUGCCAGCAGCCGAC